AUUGAACGCUGGCGGCAUGCUUUACACAUGCAAGUCGAACGGUAGCAGGGUGCUUGCACCGCUGACGAGUGGCGAACGGGUGAGUAAUGCGUCGGAACGUGCCGAGUAGUGGGGGAUAACGCAGCGAAAGUUGUGCUAAUACCGCAUACGUACUGAGGUAGAAAGUGGGGGACCUUCGGGCCUCACGCUAUUCGAGCGGCCGACAUCUGAUUAGCUAGUAGGUGAGGUAAAGGCUCACCUAGGCGACGAUCAGUAGCGGGUCUGAGAGGAUGAUCCGCCACACUGGGACUGAGACACGGCCCAGACUCCUACGGGAGGCAGCAGUGGGGAAUCUUGCGCAAUGGGCGAAAGCCUGACGCAGCGACGCCGCGUGGGGGAAGAAGGCUUUCGGGUUGUAAACCCCUUUCAGGAGGGACGAAGCCACUCGGGUUAAUAGCCCAGAGGGUGACGGUACCUCCAGAAGAAGCCCCGGCUAACUACGUGCCAGCCGCCGCGGUAAAAC
rnacentral:rRNA from 1 species